CCUGGGGACCGAGCGCCUGACCAGAACUUCCUCGGGGGAGGCCGGAGGAGCGUGCGUCCUGCAGAGAGCUCCCCGGAGCGUGCAGGCCAGAGCAGCCUGCAGCUCUCAGCCGUGCUGGACGGGGUCCCCCGUGGACACUGACGUGGGUCUGGACCCUGUGGGCCUCGGGAGGGAGCUGGAGGCUUCCCCCGGGGAGACGCUGACACCGCCUGGAUGGAACCUUCCCCUCUGGCUCAGCCUCUUCCUCUUCGCCGCCACUAGGAGGGAAUUGAGAAGGGACUUUCCAGAGAGCGUUAGCGUGCAGGGUGUGGAAAUGGAAUAAAAGCAUAUGCAAAUAGGCCUGCGGGUGCCUUCCUCUACCCCAGUGAGCCAGAACCUUCCUCCAGAAAGAUGCUCUUCCUCCAAGACCCUAGACAGCGCUCUCCCCUCCCAGGACGGCAGCAGCAGGCCGAGUGGAGUGAGCUGGGCCAAGCAGGAAGAAAGGCUUUGUGCCAUCUCUGGAGAGCCUGUGUGUAUCCUCAGCUUUGAGAACUGAAUUCCAUGGGUUGUGUCAGCGUCAGACCUGUGAAAUUCAGUUCUUCAGCUGGGAUAUUUCUGUCAUCGUGGACAGAUCCUGCAGAGCUUGUGCAGCCUGCCAAGGAGCUUGGAGGACUGGAGACAGACGGGUCAACCUGAGGCCACACAGGGCCGGGCAUGCGGGUUUCUAGAGGGGCUCUCCUCUGCUUGGGCAGAACAUUGAGUUGGCUGUCAGCAGUCUUGCCUUGCUCCGUGGGCUGUCUCUCAGCAAGUCGCUCUUGCUGCUGCAACUCGUUUCCAUUUAUUGAUUACUGAGGAUGAUUCAGGUGCGGGACUAAGUGCUUUACAUGCUGUUAUAGGAGACUCUUGGGAGAAAUCACUUUAAUGAAGCCUGAGACGCGGAGCGUUGCCAUGCAAUGAUCCCCCUCCCUUUUAUGGGACCAGAUGGAAUUAUUAGUAUGUGACAAUUAUCUGUUAGCAUGGACUGCUAUGGUGUCUGGUUCUUUUUAAAGAUAUGUAGUGAAAAAAGAUGAGAAACAUAGGUACAUCCCUCCUAUGGCCUCCCUUGCCCUUUAUUUGAAUCUAUAUUUCUUUGGCUGCUCUAAAUACAAUGGGGCUAUACUGUCCCUGUGUGCUCCAAACAAGGCAAAAAGAGGUUGUGUCUUGCCUUCGCCACCACCUGCAAUGUCUCCUGGGAUGGGGCACACACAGGGUUUGAAGGUCCCCUCUAUUUGUUCAUGGCAGCUGAGUGGAGUAGGUUGAGUCUUUCUGCUCCCUCCGGCCUCAGGUGAGCUGGGUCUGUUCUGAGGCUGAGGUUGGUGUUGAUGUUGACAUUUUCCACAUUUAGACAAAGCACUGGGGAGUUUGUGAGUAAUAGCUAGAUUUUAUUAGCUUUCUGAUUUGAUGGGUCAUAAAGAAUGUGAUUUGCCUUUUGGGGACUCAUCACUGAUUUGACACCAUCUCUUGGAGUCCUGCAAUGUCCGUCUCAGUAUUGUCUGCAGAAUGAAAGUGUUGUCUGAUCCAGAGAGGGAGGUAGACAAGGGAGACCUGCAGCAUGCAUGUUCUCACCCUUUCUUCUCCAUGACAUGGAGGUUUAUUGGGCAUCUACUAUGCCCUGGGACCAUACUUAGAGUUUUGCACACAUGAUUUCAGUGAAUCUUACCAAGCCUCAUCUGGAAAAUUAUGUGAAAUUUAAAAAAAAGUAUAACCAUGUUUUACAAAUGCACAAGGGCACUUGGUUACUAUGAACACUUUCUGAUGUGAGCCGGAGAUAUGGGUAUGGCCCCUGGGCAAGAAGGUUCAAAUCAAGGACCUUCCUGCGCUUCCCACUCUGCUCACUUCCUCCCUGGGCUUGUCAGGCCCUUCGCCCAUUCUAGACUCAUUCUAGACCUGCGGCACUGGUGAAUCUCAGCUGAGACCAGAGAUCAGUGUUUUCCUAGACUACCAGAGAGAAUCCAGAAUCUACACCAGGAACUCCAAUGUGCUGGGCCUUGGCUUCUCUGUGCCGUGAGCACUGACUUAGAGCUAAAUUCUGACUUACUACAAAAGUCUCAUCCUUAUUAUAGGGUACACUGUUCCUAAAGCAGGCUUGGAACAUGAAAUGUGGAAUUUUAGAUACACAUACGCAGACACACACACACACACCUGGCAUGUCUGUGAGGAGAAGGCAACAGUUAUAUCAAAGAACACUGAAGGGGUGGGCUCAGUGGAAGAUCCCUUACCUACCCUGUGUGAGAUCCUUGGUUUUGUCUCCAGUACUAGAUGAGAGAAAAAAGCUUCAUUUCAUAAGUGGAUUUGUUUUAAGAUUCUGCCAAUGAUUUUUGAGGUUCUGUUGCUUUACCAAACCUUCAUUUACGUAGGUAGAAAAAGUAGGGUAUAUAAGACCUUAGAUUCUGUUCAAUUUAUGUGAGAUUAGAAAUGUAUGCAUAGGAAUGUGUGCACUGAAAAUGUAUGUCAGUUUAUUAACAGGGGUUAGUUCUGCGGUGGUGGGAUCUGACAUGUAUUUUCCUUUGUAUUUCUCUCUGUUGUUUGACUCAUACACUGAACAUAUUUAAUUUAAAUAAAUUGCUGAAGAAAAUUUAACACA